UUCUGGACGAUGUGAUCUUCUACAUGAAUAGUGAAUACCGACUGAAGUAGUCGUCUGCCUUAGAGGAUACAUUUCUUCAGAGAUUCCACAUUGUAAGAAAUCAUCAUGUUGCUGGUGUGCCACAGCAUAUGGCUCCACUAAUGAGGUGGCGGCAAGAAGCAGAUGCAGAGGAGGCUGGUCCUUCUCGUGCUCUUACCAAUGCCGCUCCCCUUGCUACUUGCACCUCGUAUCCUGCCAACUCCAGUGCUGGUGGCAUAUUCAUUGGUGGAGGAGGAGGGCACCAUCAUCCUCACUCCCGUGGAGCAGACGCCAACCAUGCCACCACUACAGUAGCCGAAGCCAUCACUGGUCACUCCACAGUCCAAGUGUGGAGGAGCUUACCAUGUCCCUCCACAAUUUUCGGGAGCACCAACUUAAAUUUAUGGACUGGCAGACCAACCAGCUGAACUCCAUUGGGUGUCAGCUUUGGAGGAUGAAUAGAACAACGGCGCUGGCACAGGGCACCCGCAUCAGGGUGGCCUGUGACAUAAACAAAUCUGCUCGAGCUCUCACAGGCCACCCAUGAGCAAUCUCAGGUGAUGCAGGAGCAGAUGCAGGUGACAAGGGAGCAAACGCAGGCAGUUGUGGCUCUGUAGAGGGAGCUGGCAGCCCAAAGGACGGUUAUGGAACGGCCAUCUACCUCAACUCGCAGCUCCCUACAGACCAGACCACAAACUGCCUCGCCGGUGACUGCCCCAAGGUGUAGUGUCCAUACACACAGGAGAGGGUGGGGGGUGCAACAAAAGGGAAAGGGAGAGGAUGAGGCCCUUCAGCUUCUUAGUAGUUAUUUUUUU